rnacentral:tRNA from 1 species
GCCGGAGUGGCGGAAUGGCAGACGCGCUAGACUCAAAAUCUGGUGUACCCCGUACGUGUGGGUUCAAGUCCCACCUCCGGUACCA